CCAGUGCUCAGAGCUGGACACACCUCCUUCCUGCCUCCCCCUGCCAUGGGCUACACAGUGCUCUCCUGUGUGUUUUUAUGUUUCCUGGGAACAGGGUCCAUGGAUUCUGGCGUUACUCAGACCCCAAGGAAAAGGAUCACAAAGACAGGAAAGAGCACCGUGCUGGAAUGUUCUCAGUCUAAGGGUCAUGACCGAAUGUACUGGUAUCGACAAGAUCCAGGGCAGGGUCUACUGCUGAUCUACUUCUCCAUUGGUGUCAAUGACAUUAGCCAAGGAGAGGUCUCCAAUGGGUACAGUGCCUCUCGGACAGAGAAGCCUAAAUUCUCCCUGACUGUAGAGACUGCCACCCUCAACCAGACAGCUCUUUACUUCUGUGCCAGCUCUCCUUUACACGGUGUGUCUGGGCCACCUGCUCUCUGCACAGAAAGACAGGCACAUGGGUGAGUUAUUUGGUCAGAAGAGCACAGAGGCCUUCCUGAUUGUGGGCUGUGGGAUACUCUGAGCUUGAAUGGUCCUAUUGAGUGUGAGCCCCCAAUUGAGCUUAGGACCACUUUGGGUCAAUGUCACCAGGUGAGAUAAUGACUCUGAAGCCACAGGCUACACUGGAUCUGUCUUCACUGCCUAUUCUAUCUAUC